rnacentral:rRNA from 1 species
UGCCAGCCGCCGCGGUAACACGGAGGGUGCAAGCAUUAAUCGGAAUUACUGGGCGUAAAGCGCUCGUAGGCGGUUGAUUAAGUCGGAUGUGAAAGCCCAGGGCUUAACCUUGGAACUGCAUUCGAUACUGGUCAGCUAGAGUACAGUAGAGGCAAGUGGAAUUUCCUGUGUAGCGGUGAAAUGCGUAGAUAUAGGAAGGAACAUCAGUGGCGAAGGCGACUCACUGGCACAUUUCUGACGCUGAGGCGCGAAAGCGUGGGGAGCAAACAGGAUUAGAUA